CGAUACUAGUACCAUGGAAUUAAAAUUGCAAACUUUCGUUAACCCCGCGAUGCAAGUAAUUCCCAAAAUAUAAAUGAUAAAAACAACUAUAAAACUUGAGAAAAGAGAAUAUCUUAUAUUAGACAUCACUGAAAGAACAGAUGAGGGAAUAUUUUCCCAGCUUUUAUAAAAGGAUGCUGUAAAGAUUAGAGUGCUACAAUUAUAAAAUUCUACUCGUCUGCCUAAGGAAUCAGGACAACUAAUGCUGGACGUAAUGAUUGUAUCGAAACCUUAUAAUGAAUGUCCUGAUGUUCCAACUCAUUUUUCUUCGGAAUUAAUACAUAAGCCGCUGUUGGGAGAACACCCUCUCAUAUUCAUCAUGUAUAUGUAUGUAUUCUAUGCAUACGACUGUAUAAUGGGUGUGGGGGAUCCUUUGCUGCCCCAAUUAACAUUUUCAAGUGGGUCAGUUGAAAGUUAAGAUUGCUAUUAGAAAAGGUGUGGCUAUUGCAGAUCAGGUGGACGUAGCUAAUAGUGCUGAGGCAUCAAAGGGACCAACUACUCCCUCGCUCAAAAGGCGCAUGGCAGCUCCCCGAGAGAACUUCCUUGCAAAUAAAAAACAGGGAACAGAUGUUGCGUAACUGCGACACCACUCUGUCCGGUACUCACUCUCAUAAUAUACGUGGUUGAUGUCCUGUUAAAUUAAGCCCAAAAAAAAAAAACGAACGAUUAGGUCAUUGCAACAGAACUCCCGUACAUGGACAGCAAUGAUGAUAGUACCACCCCUCCCGAAUAAACAAAUGCACCACUCACAAGAACAAUGCUUAGGCAAUAAAAGAAGACCAAUUACAGCCAUGCCUGCGUGCAAGCCCACCUGCGAUGCCAAUUAACUAACGGUAGAAAUGCAGCAAAGUAAUACUACCUUUAUUUCCCUUAUCUUUUGAGGGCCUGCGUUUGCAUAGGUGAAUGUGAUGGGAUGCCAACCUUUACUCUCCAUUUUUGUUGCAGAUUGAUUCCAUACAGUAUAGGUCAAGGUUCUUCUUUCAAGUUCACCUUCCAGAUCAGCCAUCUAACAAGUAAGAAAUUGAAAUUUGUAUAAGUUUGGAGUAAUUAUAUCAUAGACAAACAAAGUCAAAAUUAAUCACCAACAGAAAGUAAGGUCAGUAGAUGGCCACUCCUGAGAAAACUCACAAUAUUCCUUACCGAAAGCAAUGUCUGCACAUAGUGUUCAUCAGGAAUACAAUUAUUCUGCUCUUUCUGUUUCUGCAUUUGGUAAUCAAGCUCAAGUGAGAAGUAACAUCUGGAUGGCACAAGUGCAUUGAUUAUCAGAACGUAUGAGAUGUAUAAGUGAACCCUGGCAAUGAGAGAGUUCAUCACAGUACAAACAAUCUCAAUAGCUGCAAAAUGAUAAGCAGGCAAGCCUAUAAACGAAACUCAGUACAAGAUCAUUUAAUUAUUUGAGGUUCAUAAAAGCAUUUCUUCCUUCAGAUAUAAAUCAGUUUUCAAAUAUAACUUACUGCAUUCAGCUUUCCCUUGCUGGCAUCUGGAGGUAUUGCCCGCUGCAAAGUAAAAAUGCAAUGUUGAGCUAUUAUAUGACCAAAACAAAUUUCACAUCAUUUUUGGACACUGGUUCUAGCCAAUUAAAAUCAUGCAUUAAGAAUUGACAUUUUUUUUUAACAAGGAAAAGCAUAUUAUAUCAGGAAGGUUAAUACUUACCAUUAGGCAAACUAUUUACACUAAGAAGAAAAGGUAUUAGUCAUCAAAUUCUAAGGGUUAUAAUUUUAUAUGUGAUACCUCAACUCAGUACCUUGCAAUGCUUCUGAAAGACUGGAAAUAUAACCUCAUCAUCUACAAUGACUUCUGCAUGGCUUCUGACUAAGGUGAUCCACUGAAAUAACAAAAUCAAAUUUCAAGUUACAGGAUACAUUAGGUAUGCAAGUGACAAGGGAAAAUAUCCCUAUCCUUAAUGGAAUAAUGGCUAAAAUGUCAAUACAAGAGCAAUAUGUGCAAUUCUUUAAAUGCCAAGGCAUAAGCUCCCAAACAAGAACUUGCCGUUGAAAUUCAAAUGGGCACUUCAUGAAAAGAUACUUCUCAAAUGAUAAGGCCAUUUUCAUGAAACAAUCUUCCCAGGGUAUCGUAGUAAGAGAUAACCAAUUAAAUUAACUCAGUAAUGAAAUAAAGAUAGCUCAUCUGCUUCAACAUCUCAUACAAAUUAUUCAAUGAUGCUCUAAAUUAGGUAGUCAAGCUUUCAAUCACAUGCAGCAUCAACAACUAGGCCUAAAUCUUAGAAAAAUUUCAAACGACAUUCGCAAAUGGGAUGAGUGUUCCUGGUCUAAUCACAUUUAUGACUUCAAGUCUAAAUCAGAUUAAAAUAGAUAUGAUGCAAGAUGCCAGGGAUGAGUUUGAGUUCCAACAAGCAGCAAUCUUCACUCUUCAUGGUUUUUAUUGGUUUAUAAUUCUAUGAAGAUGAAUUGGUACAGGACACUGAGGUUGUGUUUCAUCAUCCACCACAGGUGACACUGAAGCAUCACUGAACCAGAAUAUUGUCAAAUGAUAUCAUUGCAGUUAUGGUAUCGCAAUUCUAGGAAGGUAGCCUUUGUAUCACCUAAUUUCAUGCCAAACAAAUGGGAUAAUUUAAUUUCCAUGAAACAUUCAAAAACUACCAAUUCUCUAAAACAUCAAUUCACAGAAAAAUUCCCCAACUAAUCAAGUUAGAAUUCAAGUAAUGGACUGUCAAAUAAUUUGAUAUUAAGAGAAAAUACAGUAGAGUUAACCUGGGAUCCUUUUCUCCAUUUGUGUUUUCUUAUGAUGGGCGACAUCUUCUGGUUGUAGCGCUCUUCUUUUGUAUCAACAAAGCUGUCAACAAAACUCCUAGGAGAAGCCAUCAAGUAGCUGUAUAUGUAGCUAAAGUUGUACAGGGGGACGCAGCUGUCUGAGAGAAGAACAAAUCUUUGAUUUGCCGGAUCAUCUAAGGCAGCUGAGAGUAACAACCUCUCUGCUUCGAUCAUACUCGACUCUCCCCAUACCACCUGGAUGCUAUUCUUCAAUUGCCGACCGUAGAAAAAAUGUGACCGAGUCGUGGACUCGUCGAACUCAAACCCCGGUGCCGAGUGUAUAAAAAUUGAGAAAUUUGCCACUUCAGCAUUCUCGAAGAAGCUGCCCCAGAGAAAAUCAAGAGGAAGCUCUUUGCGAACGAGGAAAAGGAAGGCUAUCUUAGGAGGGCCGACGAAGUGGAAGCUACCGCGAGAAAUUCGAGAUCUCGAGCCAUAAAUGGAAGAAACAGGGGACGAGAAAUCGGAAUUGAAGUGAAGUCUAAGAAUAGCGAAGACAGAGAGGGAGACGGAAAGGAUGAUAACAAGUUUCCAACCGAACCAGAUAACGUGGGGUGUUGGUACCGUGGAGGCCUUCUUUGACAUCGUUCUUCAUUGAAGGAGAUGAAAUUGAUGGUUAGAGCCCAUAACAUGGAAAGGGAAAGCUGUAUAAUGCUAAUCCGUGUCGGCUUUUCUGGUCUUUUC
rnacentral:misc_RNA from 1 species